UACAGAGGUCUCAAGCGUUGUUCGGAUUCAUUGGGCGUAAAGGGUGCGUAGGCGGCGCGGUAAGUCGGGUGUGAAAUCUUGGAGCUUAACUCCGAAACUGCAUUCGAUACUGCCGUGCUUGAGGACUGGAGAGGAGACUGGAAUUUACGGUGUAGCGGUGAAAUGCGUAGAUAUCGUAAGGAAGACCAGUGGCGAAGGCGGGUCUCUGGACAGUUCCUGACGCGGAGGCACGAAGGCCAGGGGAGCAAACGGG
rnacentral:rRNA from 1 species